rfam:Gossypium hirsutum cultivar TM-1 chromosome 8, whole genome shotgun sequence
AGUUAAAAAUUUCAUCUAUUUGUAUUGCUAAAAAACUUGUGUGCUUGACAGAAUAAUCAAACGAUUGCACAUGGCAUGCCAUAUGUACGUUAUGCUAAUGUAUGAAAACUAACUUUUAGUUGUAGAAAUGGAUGAAAUAUUUUAACA